AACCAUAGAAACCUGCGGAGUACCUGCGGAAGGAUCAUUACAGAGUUGCAAAACUCCCUAAACCAUUGUGAACGUUACCUAAACCGUUGCUUCGGCGGGCGGCCCGGGUCCUUCCCGGCGCCCAUCGGCCCUCGCGGGCGCCCGCCGGAGGUAAACCAAACUAUUGCAUUGUAUGGCCUCUCUGAGUCCUCUGUACUGAAUAAGUCAAAACUUUUAACAAUGGAUCUCAGAUCGGAAGAG
rnacentral:misc_RNA from 1 species